UACCUCCCCUUAUCUAUCGCUACUCCUUGACUAUUGUGUGACGUCAACGGGGGAUAGAAAUUCGCCAGAGAAAAAUAAAAUUUUACUGUGUCGCUGAAGAAAUCAACGUCUUUAGCACAAUAUAUGCGAAUCAUCCCAAAUGCUAUGUUCAGAAACAGUGAAGUACCAUGGCUGAACCAGAUCCUGUAACAGAAAAGAAAGUACAACAGUACACGACUGUGAUUGUCAUAAGCUGUAUGCCAAGGAUGUCCCUGGCGCUGUUUUACCGCAACUUCAACCAGAAAGAUGCAAAGUUACAGAGUUGCGAAUAUGGUUGAAAUGCCGGGGACAAGCUGUGAAAUCGAAUGAGACAAAAGCCGAACUUUGCUUGAGGGUAAAGAAAUUCAGUGACAACCAGGAUAACAUCCUAAUUGUGGAUCCUUAUCCAGACCAGCCAUUUGCAGCUAAGCAGAAGUCGUCCUGUAUGAACUGUAAAGGACAAUCAACAGUGUCAACAGCGGAAGAACAUCUUAAUUUGGAAGAAUGCACAUGGACCCAAAGCACCAGACCGAUCUUCAAAGACUUUUCGUACAUGAACAUUCUGGAAUGGACCAAAAGUUCUGGUAAAGGUUCAAAACUGGGUGUUGAAAAGCCUAUUCAACGAGGCUAUGUGUUUUUUCAUGACGGUUAUGUAUUCGACACAUGGACAUCUGAACGUAACAGUUCAACAAUUGUUAGAUGCAAGUGUUUCCGCUCCAUGAAAAACCGGUAAUCAGAAAUAAAGAGUAUUGAAAUAAUCUAAAUUACAUU